rnacentral:rRNA from 1 species
AUGGGAAAAUUUCGUGCUGCGAUCGACGCGGCAGGACUCAAGGAGAUUAAGUGUAAGAACAGAAGAUUUACGUGGAGCAACGAGCACGCGUCGCCAACCUUAGUUAGCAUAGAUAAAUUUUUCUGCACCACGGCCUGGGCAUCCAUGUUUCCCUCCUACCUCCUUCAUGCUGCUUCUACCUCGUGCUCCGACCACUGCCCGUUGGUGCUGACGGAGGCGGCGGCGCCUCGCCGCGCGGCUCGCUUCCGUUUCGAGUCGUUCUGGCCGAGAUUCCCUCGCUUCCACAUCACGGUGCAGAGGGCGUGGGAUCGCCAUGUGGCCUCAAACUGUGCCUUCAAGAGGCUCAGCACAAAGCUAGUUCGAGUGGCCCGAGACCUGAAGAUUUGGGCCAAGGGCUUCUUCAGCGAGUCAAAGCUCCAAAUGCACAUCGCAAACGAAAUCGUGCUCCGCCUCGACAUGGCUCAAGAGAGUAGACAACUAACAGUAGAUGAGCUCGAGUUGCGGAAAUAG